UACGUAGGGGGCUAGCGUUGUCCGGAAUCAUUGGGCGUAAAGCGCGCGUAGGCGGCCCGGUAAGUCCGCUGUAAAAGUCAAAGGCUCAACCUUUGAAUGUCAGUGGAUACUGCCGGGCUAGAGUCCGGAAGAGGCGAGUGGAACUCCUGGUGUAGCGGUGGAAUGCGCAGAUAUCAGGAGGAACACCGGUGGCGAAGGCGGGUCUCUGGGCCGUAACUGACGCUGAGGAGCGAAGGCAUGGGGAGCGAACAGG
rnacentral:rRNA from 1 species